UACGGGGGGGGCAAGCGUUGUUCGGAAUUACUGGGCGUAAAGGGCGUGUAGGUGGUUUCGUAAGUCUGGCGUGAAAUUUUUCGGCUUAACCGGGAAAGGUCGUCGGAUACUGCAGAACUAGAGGACGGUAGAGGCGUGUGGAAUUCCGGGUGUAGUGGUGAAAUGCGUAGAGAUCCGGAGGAACACCAGUGGCGAAGGCGACACGCUGGGCCGUACCUGACACUGAUGCGCGACAGCAUGGGGAGCAAACAGG
rnacentral:rRNA from 1 species